rnacentral:rRNA from 1 species
GUGGGGAAUAUUCCGCAAUGGACGAAAGUCUGACGGAGCAACGCCGCGUGAGUGAUGAAGGUUUUCGGACUGUAAAGCUCUGUUGUUUAGGACGAAAGUGCCUGUUGCAAAUAGUUACAGGUAUUGACGGUACUGAACGAGGAAGCCACGGCUAACUACGUGCCAGCAGCCGCGGUAAUACGUAGGUGGCAAGCGUUGUCCGGAAUUAUUGGGCGUAAAGAGCAUGUAGGCGGGAAUCUAAGUCUGUUGUGAAAAUGCGGGGCUCAACCCCGUAUUGCGAUGGAAACUGGGUUUCUUGAGUGCAGGAGAGGAAAGGGGAAUUCCCAGUGUAGCGGUGAAAUGCGUAGAUAUUGGGAGGAACACCAGUGGCGAAGGCGCCUUUCUGGACUGUGUCUGACGCUGAGGUGCGAAAGCGUGGGUAGCAAACAGGAUUAGAAACCCCUGUAGUCC